UUCCAAGGAACGAACCCGUACUACAUCAAACUGCAAGUCAGAAACGCUCGCAUACCAGCCACGGAAGCUGAAAUGAUGCAGGGCGGGAAGUACGUCAGCAUGAAACACACGGCCGAUGGAUUCUGGGAACUUUCCAACGGACAGAAGGUAGACCAAACAGGCGGUGUCCGUGUGAGCUGACAGCAGCUAAUGGGGAGACGGUAACAGACAUCAUUCCCAACUUAAAUAAUGAUGUGGUUUUGCAUGGAAAGAGCCAGGUGCAAUUUAAGCUUGAUUCCAGCCUACCCUCAGCGUAGAAUUGGAUGUGACAUAUGUGUUCUGUCACUGUGUCGAGAUGUACGUGACACAAGUGUUGUUACAAGCAUAAUCACUCUUUCUGCAAUAAAACACCUUCGUACCGAA